rnacentral:rRNA from 1 species
AAUGAACGCUGGCGGCGCGCCUAAUACAUGCAAGUCGAGCGAGAAGACGUAGCAAUACGUUUGUAAAGCGGCGAACGGGUGAGGAAUACAUGGGUAACCUACCCUCGAGUGGGGAAUAACUAGCCGAAAGGUUAGCUAAUACCGCGUACGCUCCUUGGACUUCGGUUCAGGGAGGAAAGCGAUACCGUGGGUAUCGCGCUCUUGGAUGGGCUCAUGUCCUAUCAGCUUGUUGGUGAGGAACGGCUCACCAAGGCUUCGACGGGUAGCUGGUCUGAGAGGACGAUCAGCCACACUGGCACUGCGACACGGGCCAGACUCCUACGGGAGGCAGCAGUAAGGAAUAUUGCGCAAUGGGCGAAAGCCUGACGCAGCGACGCCGCGUGGGGGAGUGAAGGUCUUCGGAUUGUAAAACUACUUUUGGUCGGGGACGAUAAUGACGGUACCGCAGAAUAAGCCCGGCUAACUUCGUGCCA